AUGGCCUUUCUCACAUCUCCAAACCUGUAUAGACUGCGAGUGCUGGGGUGUAAUAGUUCGGCUGCUCCUGGGUUUCUUCAUACAUCCAUUGGUUUUUGGUUGGGGGAGCAACAUUUGUCAUUUCCUGAACUUGAUGCAGACGCAUGCAAGCAUGAAUACAUACAUGCUGCAAGUGUGGGAGAUCCAGGAUGGUACUCUUUAUUCUGUGAUUGCUCCUUUGAUCUUACCAAGGCUCCGGUUGUUCUUUCGGUCAACUACCCUGCCGACGAAAUACUCAGCAAGAGAUCACAGGACAUGAGCUGUAUGGCAUCCUCUACAUGCUACAAUCAGGAUCAUUUUCAAGAAGGGAGGGGUGUCAUUGCAUUUGCCGACGUAUUCACGCAAGGCUGCUUCGGCUACAGGCACUACAUCGGCGUCGACUGUGAUGGCUACUUCUCCGUCGCAUUUCCCUCCAAGGUCAUCAACCACAACACCAACUUCAAUCGGGUCUCUGUCGGCCACGACUACUACUACCUCAAGCCCGACAACUUCUCCGAGCUUGUUCAAGUCCAUCUCGACCAUGGCUGCUACCGCGACAACUACCAUGGGGAUUCCGGCAUGAUUAAGGAUCUCCAAGCACCAUGGGAUCCUGGCAAAAUCUUCGUGAUAGCGGCUUGGGGGCAAGCCGCAUUUCAAGAAGGGAGGGAUGUUAGGGACCUCCCCUGGCCCAUACUCAUACCUGGGCUUUCCCCUUUGAUAGCUCAUGGGCCGGGCCCGUCUAUGCUCACCACUCGGCAACAGCCUACAAGUACUCGGAAGCAGGCAACGAGCACGACAUCCAGUGGAUCACGAAACCCGGCGGCGGCGGCUAUCUUCUUCCCCUUCCUCCUUCCCUAA
rnacentral:rRNA from 1 species